GUCUCUCCACGGCGGGAGCCCCACACACUCCACCACCACCCCACACUCUCCACCCGCUCCUUGUGCACGCCCUGCCCCACUGAAGUCAGCUCAGUUGGCAGGCUGCAGAGAAUCCAGUCACCAAUCUAUGCAGGCCCACAAGUUGCCUGAGGGCUUGUUGUUGGGUGGGGCCAGUCUCUAGGGUAGGCUGCCUGCCCUGGCUGAGCUGGAUUAAAUCGGUGCUCUAGUGGAUGGGGCAGACCUGGGCUAGCAGGCCCCAGGGAGAACUCCAAUGGCGUCUGUGUCAGCAUGCCCACACCAGGCCACAACAAUGGCUGCUGCCAAUGUCCCAGUCCCUGGAGAGGUCUCACCUCUCACCGAGAUGCACUCAGGGCCUGUCAGAUGAGCCUGAGAAUCCAAGUCAGUGAAAUUUCCACUUUUCCUUGCUGAAGCCUGUCAUCCUCCAACUCCACCUUAGGCUGGAGAAGUCUACUUUCUUCUCUGAUAGAGCUGGAGAACCUUCCAAGGGAAGACCAGCCCUGAGCUAACAUCUGAUGCCAAUGCUCCUCUUUUUUGCUGAGGAAGAUCGCCCCUGAGCUAACAUCUGUGCCCAUAUUCCUCUACUUUAUAUGGGAUGCCACCACAGCAUAGCCUGACAAGCGGUGCGUCAGUGCAUGCCCGGGAUCCAAACCUGGGAACCCCAGGACCCCGAAGCAGAGCGUGCGCACUUAACCGCUAUGCCACUAGGCCAGCACCGCUGGAUAAUUUUUUUUAAAACAAUUCUUCUCCUACAUACUCCAAAAGAAAAUAGUUAUCCCGAGCUGUGUCUGUGUAAGCUGAUUAUUUUGUCUCUUCUCUGGGCUCUACACUUCUACACUACUCUACACUGGGCUCACUCAUGCCUGCUUAGAAAGUUCUGUUUCACUCCGAGUUGCUGGAGUGAGGUUUUCAUUAGUUAGUAUGAACAUACCACCACUAUGCGUCCAUCCUGCAACAGCCUGUAGGGGACUCCUUAAUAGCCUUCAUAAGAAAGACUGACUUAAUGUCUCCUAAGUGUGUUUAAAUUCAUAAAAAUAACUCUGGGACAUCAACUGCAGAGAAUCUCUCCUAAAUCCUGUUGAA